AGCAGUAGCCGCGGGAAUACGUAGGGUGCAAGCGUUAAUCGGAAUUACUGGGCGUAAAGCGUGCGCAGGCGGUUUGUUAAGACAGAUGUGAAAUCCCCGGGCUUAACCUGGGAACUGCAUUUGUGACUGGCGGGCUAGAGUAUGGCAGAGGGGGGUAGAAUUCCACGUGUAGCAGUGAAAUGCGUAGAGAUGUGGAGGAAUACCGAUGGCGAAGGCAGCCCCCUGGGCCAAUACUGACGCUCAUGCACGAAAGCGUGGGGAGCAAACAGGAUUAGAUACCCCUGUAGUCCCUGUCUCUUAUAA
rnacentral:rRNA from 1 species